rnacentral:lncRNA from 1 species
GCCCUGCUUGGAAGUGGACGAGGCGUUUCUCCGGCCCUGGCUCUCCUGGCCUUCUCCAGCCCAAUGUGUGACCCGCUACAGCCACCUGGUGGGCCGCGGGGGAAUACAGCAACGAUUUCAAUAAACCCCAGGACAUAGGCCCUGCCGGGAAAGGAGUCUGGGGCCUGGCAUGGUCUAGAUUCCCUCCCCAAGGACUGCCCAGUCCCCUUCCCCCUCCAUCCUCAGUUCCCUUUAGUAAUAGAGAAAGCCGUCCCCCGUGUUCUCUCGGCUGAUCUAUAGUAGGCGAGGGUGGGCAUGGAAUAAAACGACCGCUUCUGCUGCUUUACUCCUCAGGUUAUUUCCAUUCGAAAUUAGUUAGGCAGGGAGGAGACAUCAGGCUGGAGCCCAGAGGCAGGAGGGAAGCGCCCACCGACCCCACCCCGCGUUCCAAAACGUUCCCUCCAGCGCAGCGUCUCCCAAUAGCCGGGAUCCUGGGGGUCCCAGCCAAUCUGAUGGGGGUCGCGUUUUUCCCGGCCUGGGACGCGGGAGGCUCCAUUCUGCACCAGAAGCGGGGAGGGCCAAGGGAGACAUGAGCACAGCUGGCUCGAGUGGCUCGUGGAGUUAGCCUGCAGCCGCCUCUCUGGUGGGCGCUGGAUCCCCACAAGCCCCCAGGGGAAAACGGUCUACGCCUCUUAGACCCGCACCUUCGCCAGCAGAACCGGAACUGCCACUGCUGCUAGGAGAAAGUCUUGGACAAUAAUCGCGACGUCCAGGCCACACAGGCCAUAAACCGCCACGGGAGCAGCGAGCGCCCUGAGUAGCGCAGCCCCCCGCUCCCCAGGAGGUGGGAACCACGCUGGAACCAGCAAGCCCAAGCUCUGCGCCUUCGCGGCGAGAUCUGACGGCCCUAGUGGCCCCCAUCCUCCCGUCGGCCGGAGACCGGACCCGGUUACCACCACCUCCCCGCAAUUUCUAGUCUCUAAAUUAUGCUGUCCCCGAAAACAAAGAAAGUGACCAAGAAAUAAUGUGAAAAUGUUACCAAGAGAGUUUACUAUUGAAAGAAGUCUAGCC